rnacentral:rRNA from 1 species
GACGAACGCUGGCGGCGUGCCUAAUACAUGCAAGUCGAACGCAUUUUCUUUCACCGUAGCUUGCUACACCGAAAGAAAAUGAGUGGCGAACGGGUGAGUAACACGUGGGUAACCUGCCCAUCAGCGGGGGAUAACACUUGGAAACAGGUGCUAAUACCGCAUAAUUCCAUUUACCGCAUGGUAGAUGGAUGAAAGGCGCUCUUGCGUCACUGAUGGAUGGACCCGCGGUGCAUUAGCUAGUUGGUGGGGUAACGGCCUACCAAGGCUGCGAUGCAUAGCCGACCUGAGAGGGUGAUCGGCCACACUGGGACUGAGACACGGCCCAGACUCCUACGGGAGGCAGCAGUAGGGAAUCUUCGGCAAUGGACACAAGUCUGACCGAGCAACGCCGCGUGAGUGAAGAAGGUUUUCGGAUCGUAAAACUCUGUUGUUAGAGAAGAACAAGGAUGAGAGUGGAAAGUUCAUCCCUUGACGGUAUCUAACCAGAAAGCCACGGCUAACUACGUG